rnacentral:rRNA from 1 species
AUGCUUAACACAUGCAAGUCGAACGGUAACAUUGGAGCUUGCUCCAGAUGACGAGUGGCGGACGGGUGAGUAACGCGUAGGUAUCUGCCUAGUAGUGGGGGACAACAUGUGGAAACGCAUGCUAAUACCGCAUACGCCCUACGGGGGAAAGCGGGGGAUCUUCGGACCUCGCGCUAUUAGAUGAGCCUGCGUUAGAUUAGCUAGUUGGUGGGGUAAUGGCCUACCAAGGCGACGAUCUAUAGCUGGUCUGAGAGGACGAUCAGCCACACUGGGACUGAGACACGGCCCAGACUCCUACGGGAGGCAGCAGUGGGGAAUAUUGGACAAUGGGCGAAAGCCUGAUCCAGCAAUACCACGUGUGUGAAGAAGGCCUGAGGGUUGUAAAGCACUUUCAAUUGGGAGGAAAAAAGCUGGGUUAAUAGCCCUGCUCUUGACAUUACCUUUAGAAGAAGCACCGGCUAACUCCGUGCCAGCAGCCGCGGUAAUACGGAGGGUGCGAGCGUUAAUCGGAAUUACUGGGCGUAAAGCGUACGUAGGCGGUUAUUUAAGUCAGAUGUGAAAGCCCCGGGCUCAACCUGGGAACUGCAUUUGAUACUGGAUAACUAGAGUUUGAUAGAGGAGAGUAGAAUUUCUGGUGUAGCGGUGAAAUGCGUAGAGAUCAGAAGGAAUACCAGUGGCGAAGGCGGCUCUCUGGAUCAAAACUGACGCUGAGGUACGAAAGCGUGGGUAGCAAACAGGAUUAGAUACCCUGGUAGUCCACGCCGUAAACGAUGUCAACUAGCCGUUGGGUCCAAUUAAGGACUUAGUGGUGCAGCUAACGCAUUAAGUUGACCGCCUGGGGAGUACGGCCGCAAGGCUAAAACUCAAAUGAAUUGACGGGGGCCCGCACAAGCGGUGGAGCAUGUGGUUUAAUUCGAUGCAACGCGAAGAACCUUACCUACCC